rnacentral:rRNA from 1 species
UACAGAGGGUGCGAGCGUUACUCGGAAUUACCGGGCGUAAAGCGUGCGUAGACGGUAGCGUAAGUCAGAUGUGAAAGCCCCGGGCUCAACCUGGGAAUUGCAUUUGAGACUGCUCUGCUCGGGUGCGGAAGAGGGAAGCGGAAUUUCCGGUGUAGCGGUGAAAUGCGUAGAUAUCGGAAGGAACACCAGUGGCGAAAGCGGCUUCCUGGUCCGACACAGACGUUCAGGCACGAAAGCGUGGGGAGCAAACAGG